rnacentral:rRNA from 1 species
AGAGUUUGAUCCUGGCUCAGGAUGAACGCUAGCGGCAGGCCUAACACAUGCAAGUCGAACGGCAGCACAGAGUAGCAAUACUUGGGUGGCGAGUGGCGCACGGGUGCGUAACACGUAUGUAACCUACCUCUAACCGGGGGAUAGCCCGAAGAAAUUCGGAUUAAUACCCCAUAAUAUUAUUGAAAGGCAUCUUUUAAUAAUUAAAACUCCGGUGGUUAGAGAUGGGCAUGCGACUGAUUAGCUUGUUGGUGAGGUAACGGCUCACCAAGGCUACGAUCAGUAGGGGACCUGAGAGGGUUAUCCCCCACACUGGUACUGAGACACGGACCAGACUCCUACGGGAGGCAGCAGUGAGGAAUAUUGGUCAAUGGACGCAAGUCUGAACCAGCCAUGCCGCGUGCAGGAUGAAGGCCCUAUGGGUUGUAAACUGCUUUUCUACGAGAAUAAACCCCCGCUCGUGAGCGGGGCUGAAGGUAUCGUAGGAAUAAGCACCGGCUAAC